AUAUGUGAGUGGGCAGUGAUGUUUCAGAGAUUGUAGAGCAGUAGAAUGAGAGGGAGGGAGAGAAUCAGUCUUGGUACAUUGCUUCUGAUGGGUGUCUGAAACCAGAAUUUUUAUAGUUGUGUUCCCUAAAUUGGAGGAAAACGCUGCUACCUUCUGGAAGCAGAAGGAUGAUGCUUGUUCGUGGCUUUUGAACAGCUUUCAUUUCAUUUUAAAAACGGUGUAACUUCUGCAUUUGAGUGACUCUACUGUAUAAUAAAGGUGGUAUACAGGCGGCAGGAAGUGGCUCUCAUAUAGAACACCAGCACGUUUCCACUCUGCAGCAGCUACCACGUCUCCAGCAUCAGGACGCACCGUCAUCAUCAUCAUCAGGUGCACAUCGAGAAAUCUUUUGGAGCUCCGCUGGUACACAGAAGAAGAUAGGCAGAUGCCCACUGGAGCGCGAUGCUCCUGAUGGUAGUCUUUCGGCUCCGGUACAGUCGAGCGUGUUAAAAGAGGAAGCAGCUACCGUACCGGGACUGCUGGGUGUUCUUUUCCCGUCCGUUCAAGCCUCACACUCAGAGGGGCAUGCCAGCCGUGCGGUUCACGCAGCCUCCUUGCCUGGGGGAGUAGAUGGGACCGCACGUCGUCCGAGUGUUCGAAAGAUGGAGCGAAUUUUCCUUUUCGUUCUCGGCUGUUUUGGCGUCUCGCGGGUCACAGCGGAUACCUUGUCCCCGCCUGUCAAUGUUACCAUCAAAGCGGUGAAAGCUAACUCUGCUCUGGUAACAUGGGACAUCCCAGAGGGAGACCCUGUCAUUGGCUUUGCCAUCACACAGCAGAAAAAAGACGUGCGUAUGCUCCGAUUCAUCCAGGAAGUCAACACCACCACACACUCCUGUGCAUUAUGGGACUUAGAGGAGGAAACAGACUACAUUGUUCAUGUCCAAUCCAUCAGCAUGUUUGGAACCAGCCCGCAAAGCGAACCUUUACGCUUCCGAACACCAAAGGAGGCAGAGACUCAGGCUUCUAAGAAUAAAGACGAAGUAACGAUGGAGGAAGUGGGCCAGACCAACCAGCUGAGAGCAGGGGAGCUCAUCAUCAUUGUGGUGGUGCUUAUCAUGUGGGCAGGUGUGAUAGCCCUUUUCUGUCGCCAGUAUGACAUCAUCAAAGACAAUGAGCCCAACAACAACAAGGAUAAAGCCAAAAAUUCAUCAGAGUGCAGCACUCCUGAACAUCCAACAGGGGGGCUGUUGCGCAGUAAGGUAUAACCCACCCACCCUUCUUCCCCCGAGGUGCCUCCCCUCCCUCAACAGCACCGGGCAGUUUUCCAAGAACAACAAUAGGAUGCCAUCUGUCAACAUAAUUGAAGUGUGACUGUCUGUUCCUUACACUAAAGACUUGCUGUUCUCACAAAAAGGCAGGCCUUUUAAGCAAACCUCCUCGUCAGGAUGAGACGCUUAAGUCUCCUUUGCAGUGGGCCUGCCAAUGAAGCAAAGCUUGUGGGACUCAGAGGAUUCAGGAACAACUUGGCUGGCCUGAAAAGACAACCCACUGAGGAGCUACUGCAGGGAGAGUUGAGCAGAUCCACCGUGUUUAACAACCACCAUACCAUGGGGGAGGCACAGAUUAGGGCCAAGUGGUCCUGGCAGUGGACAGACUCCUGAUAAAGCACCCCCAAGGACAAAAGUCGAUAAACAGAGCUGGAGAGCUUUUCAUCCACUCUCCCUCUUUCUUCUCUGUCUAUAAGUGGGUCGUGAUUUGACCACACAUUUGUGGGUCGUUGCCACUGUGUCAAAAUAUUCCUCUGUGGUGUGAUUUAAUCCCAUCUUCUAGAUGUUGUUUUGUCCUAAUAUUCUGUAAUCCAAUUUUUUUAUGAGCGAGGGUGAAUAAUUUAGUAGUCAGGCGCAUAAUUUUAUUACAAGGUGUACCGCCAGAACAUUUCUCUUUUUUGGGUACUUUUUACACCACAUCAAGGCAGAAAGAUCUGCCAUCCUUUGGGGAAUAUACUGUAUGUCUGGUGAUCUUGUUUUCCCCCCUCAGGAAAUCCAGACUGAGUGAGGGGCAAGUCCAAAAACAAUCAUAGACGAGACUUCCUAGGAAUCGCUCGCAUCUGAAGUUCAGAUUUCCCUUUUUGACAUCUCCUUGUCUCAUCUGUGCUUUUUAAGAGAUUGUGAUUCUUUACAUUCCACACCCUGAAUGAGCUGUUUUUAUCUUUUAGGGUGAUGGAUAUCUCAGCAUUCUGGGUAAAGGACUUGACCCAGUGUGCCUGAUCUAAAUAAUGAAUUUUAAAAGAAGCUUGGAUUGUUCUACAAAGAAGUGGCCUUUGUAGAGACAUUAGAGAAGAUUCCUUGAGCAAUAACUACUCGAAGCCCUGACACAUGGAGACAAGGACUUCAUGUGCAAUGAGGUCCCAUUCUGUAGAAAAGCAUCACACAUAUAACAUCUAGGCAUGCAAUGUUGAGACAAAUGCACAUCGUGAUGAAUAAGUAUGGCGAGCCUCAGAUGUUUGCUUUCAUGUAAUAACGUUGGAGAAGAACAUUACGUAUAUGGGUUCAUUACAGACAAUUCUGCGAUGAACAGAUUUCAUCAAGGUGUAAGGGCUUCUCAUGAAUAUUUUUAAUUCAAAAUAAGUAUUUAGUCAUAAUAGGUAUAAUACAUACAUGUAAGUUGAAUUAUAAAAUCAAUAGGAACUAGUUCCAUUUUUUUUUAGUAGAGAAGUUACCGUAAAUGUUAAAUACAUAUUAUCAUUCAGUGAGACUGACCCUACAGCCAGCCUUAGCUCAUGAGUUGUCUAAAAUGUCUCCUCAUACUCAAUAAAACUAUUUCACUUGAAUAGCCAACUUCUAAGUAUGGCAAGGGCCUUCAUACACAAUAAAGCCAUGACUUAAGAAUUCAGCGUAUUAAAAUGUUAUUUAAAGUCGAAGCUUUGUCUUUAGGAAGUAGGAUCGUUAAUUAUCAUUUCUAGUGUAGGGAGAUAGUUUGAUUAGUCUGAUCAACAGUAUAAUAAAAGUCACUUUUUUUGAUGGUGAGAUGGACAGUCCUUUAUUUUACAUAAAUCGCAUAUUUCAGAUACUGACAUUAUACUGUUUUGGUCAGAUUUUGUAAUGUGUGUACAAUAAACAGAACUAUACAGUUGUAGGAUCAGGCUGACUAAUGCUAAAAUAUUUAAUGUGUAAAUACAUUUAAUAUUACUAGAGCCCGAAAUGAGUUCUAACAGAUACGGACAUGAACUACAGCACUGUGCAAAAGUCUUACAGGCUACUAUUAGAUUAGCUAAUUUUGAUACAAUGGCAUUAUUACAAUACAAAAGAUAACCGACAGUGAAAUGGAAUGGGCCCUCAUUUGUAUGUGGGUCGCCAAAUCCUUGGCAGCUCCCUUGUCCAUGCAUCCAUUUAAUCUCUAUCUGUCCGCCUAUUUACUGUACUACUAUGCUAAAAUGCUUCUUAAAAUUAUAUGUAAGAAGUGGACUAAGACCUUCGCAUAGAAUUGUGUACUUUCACCUUACAGGGAGGUACUAUUAGUGAAAGAAUUAUUUUUUGUGUUACAGUGUAUCACAAAAGUGAGUACACCCCUCGCAUUUCUGCAGAUAUUUAUAUCUUUUCAUGGGACAACACUUACAAAAUGACACUUUGACACAAUGAAAAGUAGUCUGUGUGCAUCUUAUAUAAUUGAGUUAAUUUAUUUUCCCCUCAAAAUAACUCAAAAUAUAGCCAUUAAUAUCUAAACUUCUGGCAACAAAAGUGAGGACACCGCAUAGAAACUACGUACCGUAUUUUUCGGACUACAAGUCGCACCUGAGUAUAAGUCACACCAGCCAUAAAAUGCCCAACGAAGAGGAAAAAAAACAUAUAUAAAUUGCACCGGAGUAUAAGUCGCAUUUUUGGGGGAAAUUUACUUGAUAAAAUCCAACACAUAGAACAGAUAUGUCAUCUUGAAAGGCAAUUUGAUAUAAAAAUACAAUAGAGAAUAAUAUGCUGAAUAAGUGUACAGUGUACAGUGCGUGAACAACGAAAUGCGAAUAUGUCCUCACCAGGACGCUACGGCUCGGUCCUGGCUAUACAGCGAGCUGAACUCCCAAAUGACGAUCCUGGACGUCCGUAUAAUUUGCUGAAUCAAUGUCGUCCUCGAUACCAAACAGGUUCGCAUCAACGUAAAUAAAUGAUAAUUAGAUGCUAUUACAGCAAUGAAACAAACGGUUAGCAUGCGUUCGCUAGCAUUAGCACAUCGUUCAAACAACCACACAACUGGCUCUAAGUGUCCGAUCGCGGGUGGAAAACACAACAACAACAGAAAAGAUGAUCCACACAGGUGUUGCCUCUGUAGAGAUAGUUUACAAGCAUAAACAAAGACCGUAGGUUCCCAGCCAUGUCUCUCUCUCUUGCCCACGCGCUCAGAGACGCUGUGUAGCUGUCCAUCUUCUUUUGGCGUGUGAGCGCUCCUCUUCGCGUAAACAAGCGCGAGUGCGCCCCCACGUGGGCGUGAAAGCGCCACAAACUAUAAGCAUGCAUUUCAAUAUAAAAAAGUCAAUAAUACAAUUGAACACACAUUGCCAAAGGCAGAAUGCGAACGUGGCCAUAGCUAUUAAGAGUUAUUCAGAUAACUAUAGCAUAAAGAACAUGCUAACAAGUUUACCAAACUAUCAGUGCCACUCGAAAACACCAAAAUAACAUGUGAAAUGAUAUCAUAAUGUGUUAAUAAUUUCACACAUAAGUCGCUCCUGAGUAUACGUCGCACUCCCAGCCAAACUAGGAAAAAAAACUGUGACUUAUAGUCCGAAAAAUACGGUACAUCCCUAAAUGUCCAAAUUGAGUGUGAAAGCCCUCAAACAGUUUGCUGAAGACAUGUCAACAAAGCACAUGGAUUACUGGAACCAUGUCCUAUGGUCUCAUAAGACGGGUGGGCUUUCUUGUGUCCCGUCUUCAGAAGAGGCUUCCUCCUGGGGUGACAGUCAUGCACACCAAUUUGAUGUAGAGUGUGGCGUAUGGUCUGAGCACUAACAGGCUGACCCCCCACCUCUUCAAUCUCUGCAGCAAUGCUGACAGCACUCCUGAAAUGAGUCACAUGACAUUUUGGAGGGAAAAUGACAAGCAGUACUCAAUUUGGACAUUUAGGGAUGUACGUAGUUUCUAUGCGGUGUACUAUCUUUUGUUGCCAGGGGGUUGGAUAUUAAUGGCUAUAUUUUGAGUUAUUUUAAGGGGAAAAUAAAUUAACUCUAUCAUAUAAGCUGCACACAGACUAGUUUUUAUUGUGUCAAGUGUCAUUUUGUCAGUUUUGUACCAUGAAAAGAUAUACUUAAAUAUCUGCAGAAAUGCAAGGGGUGUACUCACUUUUGUGAUACACUGCAUUUACUGUUCAGGUCUAACAAAUAAUAAUGAUUUUGUAGUACUUAUCUGUUUAUUGUUCUCUUAUUUUCAGUAAGAAAAUAAUCUUUUGUUAAAGAAAAAAUGUCCUAAACAUGUCCUAAAUAUAGGGAAUGCUAGAUUUUUUGAGUAGCUAGGGACUCACAAGUUUAAUUCUGUAGAGAUUAGAGACAAAAACCAUGACCGACAGCUUUCAGCCUAUAUCCUUACCCAAUACACCAAUUAAUCACACAACCCUCAUUAGCUAGCCAUAAGGCUAGCCAUUACAAUACAAUUAUUGCAGGUUUUAAGUAGUCAUUUAAGUAACUUGCCAAUACUGCGAAGGAAGAAUAAAGUAGCAAAAUGAGUCUGAUGGUCAGACAGGAGCAGAGUUACAUUGCUUUAUAAGUGACAGUGCUCAAUAGUCGUCCAUUCAGGUACGAACAGCAGCCAUAUUGUAUAUCCAAUGUACUCACCGAUGUUUCUAAUUUCCUUUCCUACCAAUGAAAUCUUCUUACAUUUGUGUCGGAAGCUACUAACUCAUAUUCGAAACUCUCUAUAAUCAAUUUAAGUAAAAUUGUUAGCCUGAAAUCCUUUUUACCAUGGUAAAAAUGACUUUGUUGGAAAAAUGUGAUUUUAACUCAUAACAAUUGUAAUUGUAGCUUUGUUGUACUAGUACCACAUGUUUGGUUUUACACAAUGGGUGAUUUUAUGAAGGAUGUGUAUCGGAAGAUAAACAUUUGCCCAUUGAUCCUGUUAAAGAAUGCAAAUCCCUCAUUUAUAUUCAAGUUCUAGACUGGUCUAAACGUGUUCAGCUAAUAUUGAUGUAUAUGGCUCGAGCAGAUUGCGUAUCUUGACACCCGUUAACCAUAGAUCUCUAUAAAUAUUUUCCUAAACCAGAAAGAAUAACGGUGUUGACUCAAUAAUCUAUUUAAAGCUCUGUGGUGAGACCUAUUUUUGAGAUGUCAGAACCUUUUAAUGUGGUCAGCUCACUUGGGUCUUUCAUGCUUCUUGCUGUGAGUUUAUUGAACUUUUUUUUUUUCUUUUAAAGGAAUUUGAAAACAUGCCUGGAAAUAACCUCGCCAUUGAGGGAAAUCAUCCUAUUUUAGCUGCGAUAGAGAAUGUGGAAAAAGAAGCUUGGUGAAGAAACAUCAACUGCUUUAUUAACUCCAACUCAUUUAUAUUUAUUGUGUAAAGUGUACAGCAGUUGUUGCUUAAUGAGGGCUAGCAUGGUUUAAUUAACUAUUAUGCACAAGGUUACACAACUUCAAUUAUGAGGUAUCUUGUGUGUUUGGAAUUGUGUUUGCUUAAAAUAAAAAGUAUCAAAUAUUUUCUCCAAAUAACUGUCUCAGCUCCUAAAUGCAGAACAAUUUUGACCAUUUCUAAUGAUAUACUGUGGUUCUGGAGCGCCCCCUACAGAUAUUAGUGUUCAGUGCACAUCCAAAAAAUGACUGGGAAUAUUACAGGUAAUGUACUGGUUCAAAGGGCGGUGCUACUGAAAAAGCAACAAGGAAUGAACCCACAGUAAGAAUCUGAACAAAUGUGUGUGCGCAAUGACAUUGCAUUUGUUAGUAAUAGGCCCUACACACAUGCAGUAUAUACACUGGGUACAGACAGUAUUUAUACCCCCUUAAAUUUGUAUAUUGGACCCAUUAACUUUUU